rnacentral:rRNA from 1 species
AGUGAACGCUGGCGGUAGGCCUAACACAUGCAAGUCGAACGGCAGCACAGUAAGAGCUUGCUCUUACGGGUGGCGAGUGGCGGACGGGUGAGGAAUACAUCGGAAUCUACUUUUUCGUGGGGGAUAACGUAGGGAAACUUACGCUAUACCGCAUACGACCUACGGGUGAAAGCAGGGGAUCUUCGGACCUUGCGCGAUUGAAUGAGCCGAUGUCGGAUUAGCUAGUUGGCGGGGUAAAGGCCCACCAAGGCGACGAUCCGUAGCUGGUCUGAGAGGAUGAUCAGCCACACUGGAACUGAGACACGGUCCAGACUCCUACGGGAGGCAGCAGUGGGGAAUAUUGGACAAUGGGCGCAAGCCUGAUCCAACCAUACCGCGUGGGUGAAGAAGGCCUUCGGGUUGUAAAGCCCUUUUGUUGGGAAAGAAAAGCAGCAGGUUAAUACCCCGCUGUUCUGACGGUACCCAAAGAAUAAGCACCGGCUAACUUCGUG